CCUCAAAUAUUCCUUUUCUGAAAGUCCCCCAGCCACUUCCUGAGAGUAGGAAUUUCUCGCCAGCCCCCUCUUCUCAAAUGCCAGCUUUCCUCCGUGUGGCUUGGAUGCCUCAAACUCAACACCCUCAUCGCCUUCAUUUCUUUCUCACAGAAGCCACAUGACUCCGUGUGAGGCCUACACACAGGAGAGACAGACGUGAACUGGAAGACUCCAGAGGUGGCGUCUGCCCUGGGAGCAGAGAUGGUAGGGCCUGGGGUUGCUGCCUCGCAGGAAAGAGCUGGGUACCAGGUGAGGACUUCUGGGCCCUGGUUCUGAUCUGGCCCAGGCUGGCUCACAGACAGACAAUAUCAAUGUUCUGUGGUUCAGGCCAGGAUACAGAAAGCAUGGGAUAGAGCAGGAGCCUAAAGGAACGUGACUCACCCAGCUGGGGGUGUUCAGGGAGAACAGGGAAAGGUAAAGGGUCCUGGACUAAGCUGGGGCUUGAAGAAUGAGAAGCUCUUGGCCAGGUGGAGGAAGGGAGGAAAGGAGUGUUUCAGGCAGGUAGUCCACUCGCCUACGUCUGGUACCUCUGCAAAUUAGACAGAGGUGCCCCCUCUGGGCAAAUGUAGACAGUGACAGAGAGGCCUGCAUGUGUGCGAAGCUUGGCAUGCUCUGUGGCAGCAGGAGAAUGGUCUUGAUGUCUAAGCCCUAAUCCCCAGACCCUGAGCAUCAGCUUGUGGCUGUGUUGAAGGACCUUGAGAUGGAGCGUGUCUCCUGGAUGAUCUAAGCUGGCCCUGGGUGAUCACUGUGAUUCUUCUAAGAGGGAGGCAGAGAGAGAGGUCAGUGUCAGAGAGAGAUGCGGUGACAGGAGCAGAGGUCAGGAAGAUUCGAAGCUGCUCCUCGGUGGCUUUGCAGAUGUAGGGAGGGCCAGGAACCAAGGAAUCACGUGGCUUUUUGAAACGGGGAAAGGCAAGCCAGUGGAUUCUUUCUCAGAAGCUCCAGAAGGAAUGCAGCCCUGCUGGCACCUUGGCUUUCAUCCUUUAAGACCCAUGUUUGGACUCCUGACCUCCAGAACUGUUCUGAAACUUCCUACUAUUGGGUGAUUCAGUCUUGCAAAGUGAGAUUUGAAAGUGGGACUUCCAGUCGUCAGAAGCCGUCAGAAUGCUCUCCUACUCACUUUCCCAAGUAAGUUAAUCUCUUUCACAUUUCUACUAAGAAAGACAGUUAUGACGUAAUGGAAAGCUUAUGCCUCAAAUGCCGGGUAGACCCAGGUAUGAUUCCCAAUUCUGCCAGUUCCUGGCGCUUUUUCCUGGGAUCAGUCACUGCUUCUCUGUGCUUCGAGUCUCAGCUACAAAAUAGGAAAACUCACGCUGAUCUUUUAGGAUUGCUGUGAUAGAGCAAUAGAGAUUUUUACAAACAGUAUUAUUCUAAAAAAAAAGAUAUUUGAGACAGCUUAUGAUGAUGAUACAUAUAAACUGCUUUGUAUUAGCAAUAAUAACUUACAUUUGUCAAAUGCCUACUAAGUGCCGGGCACUAUUUUAAGCACUUUGCACAUAUUAACUUUUUUUGAUGGUUAUGACAACCUUGUGAAUUAGAUAUUACUACUAUCUGCAUUUUAGAGAUGGGGAAACCAAGGCACAGACAGAUUAAGUAGCCUUCCAAGGCUGUACAGUAAGUAGCAGAGCUGGAAUUUGAACCUACGAAGUUUGAUCUUAGAGCCCGCUGUGGCAUACUGACUCUUGGUAAAUGUUUAACUCUGGGUUCUGAGUGUGGUGUUGUAAGUGCUCGGCCAUCUCAUACCUGAAGAACCGAUCGGAGGGAUCUGGUGUUCGAACCAAAGUGCUAUCAAUGGUAAGUCCCUAGCUCUGGUGUGCGCUAAUGGGGGAGAUACGGCAGGGAUGAAGGUCACACCCAGCAGCCCCAGGAUGCUAUGUGGAGUGACAGACCGGAAAGAAGGAGACGUCUGAGGAAGAGGACAUUUGCAACAUCAGGACUGUGGCCGGCAUCUGGAGCAUUCAGGGGCCUGAGUUGCUCUGGAGAGAGGCAGCGUGGGAAGUGCAGCUGGUUGCAGAACCCUUGAUACCGAGACUUGCCCUUUUACUUACCAGCCACGGGACCCUUGCUGAAUCCCCUGCCCUCAUCUCUGAAAUUGCAGUAACUUGUGCAACCCCCAGAUGAGAACAUGUAAAUAAAGUGCUUGGAAAGCCAGAAAUGGAAGCUACC
rnacentral:lncRNA from 13 species